rnacentral:lncRNA from 1 species
ACCCCUCUCUCUAAGGGAACAAUAAAAAGUGCUAAAUUUAGGGAUGCCUGGGUGGCUCAGCAGUUGAGCGUCCACUUUUGGCUCAGGGGCGUGAUCUCAGGGUCCUGGAUCAAGUCCUGGAUGGAGUACUGGAUUGAGUCCUACAUCGGAUUCCCCCGGGGGGUGGGGGGGGGCACCUGCUUCUCCUGCUUCUUCUGUGUCUCUCAUGAGUAAAUUUUAAAAAAAGGACUAAGUUUAAAUCUAUCAAAUUUUGCUAUUAGAAAGUCAAUUUAGAAAUUAAAAUAUUUAUAAUAUGAGAAAAAUUUUCUCCAUUAUUAAUUGCUGGAGUGAAUACCUCUGAGAAAUAUUCAUCAGUGUGAUUUUUAACUUGGGUGUGCUGGAGUAGGGGAGGACAUAGAACGAACACCCUACACAAGAAACAGUGUACAUUAAAAUUCCUGGGAGAGCAGAUGUUAUUUAAAGGAGGUAACCUCAAAUUUGUAUUGUGGACUUUUAAAAAAGAAAACCAUAUCACAUUUGAAGCUGAGCUAAUUUUAUUGAUUUAUAAAAAUAAAAAAAAAUUAAAACACAAUAUACCCUAGGUGCUUAGAACCAUGUUACAUUGAAAGAAAGAGUAAAAGAAAGUGUUUUAAGGAUACAGUAGAAUGUGAGAGGGAAAAAAAUAGGAUUUGGAGAUGGAUCUGGCUAAGUUUCAUCCCAACUGCACCACCGGGCAGAUGUUUUGACCCAGGGGAGAGGGGGAGGUUAAAUGUGUCGAGCCUCAAUUCUCACGGUAGUAGAAUGAGAGGAACAAUGUCCUCUUCAUGGGGCUAUUAGGAAAUAGCAAUGAAAUAAUAUAAAGAGCCCAAGAUAGUACCUAGUUCUUGGUUCAUAUCCAGCAAAUCCUCCUUCCCAUGUCCUCAGCCCAUGGUGGUAGUGAUGGUGGUGGUAUUGCUGUGGCUGUUGGCUUUGGCUAAGAAAGAGAUUGGCCUCCCACUCUAUUUUCCCAACCAUAAAUUUGAUCGCUUCAGUUUCCAGGUAAAUGUUAACAUGGAUCUAAGUAUGUGAACCUCAAGUACGGCUACUUUGCCCUCCAGAAGAAAACAUUUGGAACUGGGGACAUUUUCAGUUGUCACAUUUGGACCAGGGAGACGAAGAAGGCUGUGUCACUGGAAUCUAUUGGGUGGAGGCUAGGGAUGCUACUAAACAUCCUACAGAGGUCAGCCCCCUCAAUAAAGAAUCAUUGGACCCAAAAUGUCAAUAGUACUGAAGUUAAGAAACACUAACCUAAAUUAAUAAAGUUGUCACAUUUGCGUUGUUUCUUUGGGGAAUAUCUUCUACACAAAGCAGGGUACAUGCUUUUUUUUUAACUCUUUAGCAAUUUUUAAAGUAAGCAAUCACAAUGCUCUGAACACAAAAUAUUCCGUUAGUAAAACAGUUAUGCUGUUAAUUAUUCUGUUAAUUAUCAAAAUAUCGGAGAAAAAGUGCUUCUCUCCAGCUCAUUAACUGACACAGCUGUGAUUCUAGAGAAUGUCUACAAGUCGGUCUACUUAAUAAAAAGUGACCCAAUUCCUCUGCUAAUUUAAACUGGAAAAAGUUCUUAAGAAUGGUCCACAAGAGACAAUGAGCCUCAUGAGCCUCAUCUCCCUUUAAAGGUAAACCCAGAAUUCUAAAGGCGAACGGAGAGUAAAAAGUUAGUAGAGAAAAAAAGCAAGUAAUAAAUGUAGCAUAAGAUUAUUGAUUAUUUGAAUCAACAGUGAUUAAGAAAAUGUAAGUAUUUUUAAUCCCAUUGAGCUAUGAACACAAGGUGAGCUGCUUACCACAUAAAGGAGUGCUGUAAUCAGCAGAUCCAUACACCUCCUAUACGCUCUGAAGGUUUAUCCUAAAGAGAAGUUUAAUUCUUCUGCAGGUAUUUAGAAGCUUCCGAAUAAGCCUUGUGGAUUGACUUAAUAGUACGAAAUCUUACAUUUUUUUAGGAGCUGGUGGUAAAAACAAUAUAUAAAUGAUAUCAUAAUUUCAUACUGAACUGAAUCUAACAAAGCAGUGUCGAGUAGAUAGUUUAUACAGACACAUUUAUAUGGGUUUUUAUCAGACAUUACCCAUCACUCACCCAAAUAAGUAGGUUCU